AGAGAGAGUCAACUAUCACAUAUUGAUUUGUCAAUUUAUUUGCGGAUGACAGCAGAACAUGUUGUCUAUAAGAUUGUUUUUAAAAUGUUGGGAUUCAACUCAUUUAAGCUAGCCUCAAGUUCAUUUGAAAAAAAAUGCAAGUUCCAAACUUCCAUAAGAAAUAGCAUAAAAUAGGUAAUUGCAAAAUCUGAAUAAGGAAUUUAUUGUCACAUUAGUUUGUUACUCCUCUAUGCAGAAGAGAUUCAUUUUGAUGAAAACAUCAAUAAAAGCAAAACAAAUAAACAGCAGAUAAUAAAAAGGUUGUCAUUUAUGGAAUGCAUUGCCA
rnacentral:misc_RNA from 1 species